rnacentral:rRNA from 1 species
UACGAAGGGGGGCUAGCGUUGUUCGGAAUUACUGGGCGUAAAGGGCGCGUAGGCGGCCAUUCAAGUUAGGUGUGAAAGCCCUGGGCUCAACCUAGGAAUUGCACUUGAUACUGUUUGGCUUGAGUUCGGGAGAGGUGAGUGGAACUGCGAGUGUAGAGGUGAAAUUCGUAGAUAUUCGCAAGAACACCAAUGGCGAAGGCAGCCCCCUGGGAUAAUAUUGACGCUCAUGCACGAAAGCGUGGGGAGCAAACAGG